rnacentral:rRNA from 1 species
UACAGAGGUCUCGAGCGUUGUCCGGAUUUAUUGGGCGUAAAGAGCUCGUAGGCGGUUGGGUAAGUCGGGUGUGAAAACUCAGGGCUCAACUCUGAGACGCCACUCGAUACUGCUCUGACUCGAGUCCGGUAGGGGAGCGUGGAAUUCCCGGUGUAGCGGUGAAAUGCGCAGAUAUCGGGAGGAACACCAGUGGCGAAGGCGGCGCUCUGGGCCGGAACUGACGCUCAUGAGCGAAAGCGUGGGGAGCGAUCCGG